rnacentral:lncRNA from 1 species
CUACAUAUCAUGAGGAUGGUCUAAUUGCCUUCUCUCCCUACUAGUAGCAAUGUUGUACUGUCGGUGCUAUUGUGAUGCAUCAUCCUUUAUAGUAUCCUGCAUCUCUAUCUCAUUGGGCUGAACUAGAGAAUUUUCCUGACACCCUUCUAGGAGCUUCAACAUCAAGCUUCACCUAUUUACUAACAUUGCAGUCUAUACAUGCACUGUCAACAAAUUUCUUCUUUUGGAUUAAUAUAUUAGACUCAUCAAAAGUUAUAACUUUGCUAAUUGUAAUUUUGGAUGACCUAGAAUUAUCUGCACACU